CCGCCCAGCGCGCCGCCAACGGCCGCUUCGGUAUUGCUUCCGGCAAAUGCGGCACUGCUGAGCAGGCUCGCGGACAACAGCAGAAUCGAGGAAUACUUCAUUGACGCAACCUCAGAGUGGAUGGCGCCGCGAUCCUUACCCGCCAUGCCGCUGCGCUGCAAGCGCCCGCCGAUGAAAGGUGUGAUCUUGCGCAAACUCCGCAAGUAUUUGUUUUGAAAAAGGAACUUCAAACAAGCGAAGCGGUCUAGGACUGGUUCUGGAGGGGUUGCGCGCGGUCCGACUGACCAUCGUUCUCGGCCAGGCUGGCGCUGAUCUGCUGCGCCAGCUGG
rnacentral:sRNA from 1 species